CACGCGGAGCAGCUCAUGGAUCCUAACCGGAUCUCUUUGACCUAUUUUACCUCUUAUGGAUCCAAUAUAAAGUUUCUUUCACUCGAUUUCUAAACCCUAACUUCAUUUCAUCCACAGCCGCUCCUCAUUCUUUCUCUCUCUCUCUCGUGAUUUUCAAUUUAGGGUUUCACGAGAUCUGUGGUAUGAGCAAGAUCUCACCAGAUCCAACAAUGGUGUGGUGAUCUCAGGCGAUAUAUGUGCUUCAGUUUUGUUAACCAUCUCCUCCCUUUCUCCAGGUGAUUCUAGGGUUUCUUUAUAAGUCACUUCUAGAUCUACGCUUCCUCAGUGAUGAAUAUCUCUAGAUCCGACACUAGAUCGACUGAUUACCUGGUGGUUGUGGGUGGAAGAUGGUGGCGAUGACACAGAUCUACCGUUUGGUGGCCAGAUCUACGGUUUGAAGUUGAAGGUAUACAAGCUCUCUACCGGAUCUGUGUGUUCACUCGCGUGGCCGUCCAACUUUUUCAUUGUUCAGGUUCUUAAUGACUUCACCAAUAAAGUUCUAAUGACAUUGGUGGAAUUGGAGUGUAAAAAGAUCCAUAAAGAGGAGUGAAUGUCAAAUAUGAAACCAGAAACAACAAAAAAGGACACAAAGCUGGUGCUCUUCGUGAAGAUUUCAAUAUGUGACCGAUUUGGAAGCUGUUGGGAAUAUUUUCUAAAGUGGCCAGGCUAUUUCAAAAAACUAAUGCUCGCAUUGGAUUUGAUUGCAACAUUAGU